AGUGAACGCUGGCGGCGUGCCUAAUACAUGCAAGUCGAACGAACGAAUAAGAGCUUGCUCUUAUAAGUUAGUGGCGCACGGGUGAGUAAUAUAUAGCUAAUCUGCCUCUUAGUAGAGGAUAACAGUCGGAAACGAUUGCUAAUACUCUAUACUUCUGCUUUACAUAAGUAAAGUAGAGAAAGUUUUUCGCUAAGAGAUGAGGCUAUACUGUAUCAGCUAGUUGGUAAGGUAACGGCUUACCAAGGCUAUGACGCAUAACUGGUCUGAGAGGAUGAUCAGUCACAUUGGAACUGAGACACGGUCCAAACUCCUACGGGAGGCAGCAGUAGGGAAUAUUGCGCAAUGGGGGAAACCUUGACGCAGCAACGCCGCGUGGAGGAUGACACUUUUCGGAGCGUAAACUCCUUUUAUCGGGAAAGAAUAAUGACGGUACCCGAUGAAUAAGCACCGGCUAACUCCGUG
rnacentral:rRNA from 1 species